rnacentral:misc_RNA from 1 species
GAUGAAGAACGUAGUGAAAUGCGAUAGGUAAUGUGAAUUGCAGAAUUCAGUGAAUCAUCGAAUCUUUGAACGCACAUUGCGCCCGCCAGUAUUCUGGCGGGCAUGCCUGUUCGAGCGUCAUUACAACCCUCAGGCCCCCGGGCCUGGCGUUGGGGAUCGGCGGAGCCCCCCGUGGGCACACGCCGUCCCCCAAAUACAGUGGCGGUCCCGCCGCAGCUUCCAUCGCGUAGUAGCUAACACCUCGCGACUGGAGAGCGGCGCGGCCACGCCGUAAAACACCCAACUCUUCUGAAGUUGACCUCGAAUCAGGUAGGAAUACCCGCUGAACUUAAGCAUAUCAAUAAGCGGAGGA